rnacentral:rRNA from 1 species
GAUGAACGCUGGCGGCGUGCCUAAUACAUGCAAGUCGAGCGAACAGACGAGGAGCUUGCUCCUCUGACGUUAGCGGCGGACGGGUGAGUAACACGUGGAUAACCUACCUAUAAGACUGGGAUAACUUCGGGAAACCGGAGCUAAUACCGGAUAAUAUAUUGAACCGCAUGGUUCAAUAGUGAAAGACGGUUUUGCUGUCACUUAUAGAUGGAUCCGCGCCGCAUUAGCUAGUUGGUAAGGUAACGGCUUACCAAGGCAACGAUGCGUAGCCGACCUGAGAGGGUGAUCGGCCACCCUGGAACUGAGACACGGUCCAGACUCCUACGGGAGGCAGCAGUAGGGAAUCUUCCGCAAUGGGCGAAAGCCUGACGGAGCAACGCCGCGUGAGUGAUGAAGGUCUUCGGAUCGUAAAACCCUGUUAUUAGGGAAGAACAAAUGUGUAAGUAACUAUGCACGUCUUGACGGUACCUAAUCAGAAAGCCACGGCUAACUACGUG